GAUGAACGCUGGCGGCGUGCUUAACACAUGCAAGUCGAACGAGAAAUGUAGACGGAAACCUUCGGGCGGAAGCCUUCAUUUCGAGUGGCGGACGGGUGAGUAACUCGUGGGUAACCUGCCUCAUACAGGGGGAUAACAGUUGGAAACGACUGUUAAUACCGCAUCAGACCACAGCAUCGCAUGAUGCGGGGGUAAAAACUCCGGUGGUAUGAGAUGGACCCGCGUUCGAUUAGCCAGUUGGCAGGGUAACGGCCCACCAAAGCGACGAUCGAUAGCCGAGCUGAGAGGCUGACCGGCCACAUUGGGACUGAGACACGGCCCAAAAUCCUACGGGAGGCAGCAGUGGGGAAUAUUGCACAAUGGGGGAAAACCUGAUGCAGCGACGCCGGGUAAGUGAAGAAGUAGUUCGGUAUGUAAAGCUCUAUCAGAAGGGAAGAAAAUGACGGUACCUGAGUAAGAAGCCCCGGCUAACUACGUG
rnacentral:rRNA from 1 species